AUCUACGGUCCUGCCACUCUGAACACGCCCGAUCCCGUCUGAUCUCGGAAGCUAAGCAGGGUCAGGCCUGGUUAGUACUUGGAUGGGAGACCACUUAGGAAGACCAGGUGCUGUAGGCG
rnacentral:rRNA from 1 species